rnacentral:tRNA from 1 species
CGGAUGUAGCCAAGUGGAUCAAGGCAGUGGAUUUGGGAUCCCCCCCCUG